CUCAAAGUCUGUAUCUUUAGUCCACUAAAUAGCAAGGAAACAAAAAAAACAAAAAACAGUUCUCCUCGCCCAAAAAACAAGCAAACCAAAAAGCCCCACCGCAAAUUCUCCAAUUCAGAAGCACUUCAGAGAUGACAUCCAAUCAACAAAUAAAACCUUGAAGGAAAGCUCUGUCAUGGUGAGAGUGCCACAGACGGGUGUCAAGACCUUUGAUGUUUCUGAAGUUGACAGGUGCCAUUCCAAGGUGUGUGGGAAGAACCUGAACUGGGUUGGCAAACUGCAGAUGACACUUGAGCUAAAAGGUGAUGACUGACAGGAGACAGAUGGGUGCUACAGUCUGUCACAGUUUCAAUCUGCAAGGAAUUUCUAGGGAAACGUUACAGAUCAGAGCAGAUGGCUGCCCCCCUGGCUGUGGUUCUGUCAAAGGUCCCUUCC
ensembl:lncRNA